rnacentral:misc_RNA from 1 species
CGAGCGCCGUUGGACUACUAAGGCUCUGCCUUGCGGUGGCUGCUCCCUUCGGUCGGCGAUGACGGGAAGGACGGCCCAAACCCAUGGGCGUCUCGGUGACCCGUCCAGCGUAGCAAGUCUCUCGCUGUCACGGGGCCGCCGCGGCGCCACUACAACGAACACUUGGCCUCGGAUCAGGUAGGGAUACCCGCUGAACUUAA